UACGUAGGUGGCAAGCGUUGUCCGGAAUUAUUGGGCGUAAAGCGCGCGCAGGCGGUCUCUUAAGUCUGAUGUGAAAUCUCGCGGCUCAACCGUGAGCGGUCAUUGGAAACUGGGAGACUUGAGUGCAGAAGAGAAGAGCGGAAUUCCACGUGUAGCGGUGAAAUGCGUAGAGAUGUGGGGGAACACCAGUGGCGAAGGCGGUUCUCUGGGCCUGUACUGACGCUGAGGAGCGAAAGCGUGGGGAGCGAACAGG
rnacentral:rRNA from 1 species